CUUAUUCCCCUACCCUACCCUCGCCUGCCCUCCCCGAUCCUCUAAUUCCCUUUCCCUUUCCCCUUCACCUUCCCCUUCCCCUUCCCUUAAGUGCCGCUCACCAACUCCGGUGAGAUCUGAGGGACAACAUCGUGCUUUUUGCUUCUCUUCCUUCUGCAAAUUCUGCAACCUCAGUUCCCCCACCCACCCAUUCACACAUUUACAGAGACGACACCCCCCACCUCGCUCAGUGACCUCCAGUGCCGCUGCCCGUCAGCCUCCCGCUUCCUCUGUCAGUUUCUCAGCUCCAGCCUUCAGUCGGCUCCGUCGCUGUCCCACUGGUUUGCUCGUUAUUGGAAUCAGAUUGAGAUAUCAAGGUACAGGAUACGUGUACAUAUUGGAGUGUUGAAGAUUUCAAUUAAAGAAAUUAGCUUUACUUUCUUACCUUAUAAAGACAAAGAGGGAGCUUUGGAAACGUACAAAUAGCUAGUUGAGCAGUAUGACGAUCGCAUGUUGUGCUGCUAUCAUAUUGUAUACCACCAAGAUAAAUGGUUGCUUGUGGUCGAAUGUUUUAAAAACGUUACAACUUAUUUUAGAGAAAAAAUAAAGUGAGAAAAUAGUUAUUCAAACUGAAGUAAGCAUAUGUGCUUCAGUUAUAUUAGAGAAGAUUUUUGUAAGAUCUGUUAGAAUGUUGUUUGUAUAUGAAUCAAGAAAGUAUUUACUCGCUAUAUUCGAGAAAGUCAAUAUUCAUUACUAA